UCGGCUUCACUCAGAUUCGGAAUAUGAUGCAUCCGACGUACUACGAGAGUAAAGUUAAAGUAAUCCAAGAUUCAAGGAACGGUCUCUACUUACCACGCUUCAUGAUCAGCAACGCGGGCUUCUUCAACUACAGCGCUCUAGAAGAAUUCAACGUCUCCCUGUACGAAGCCUCGCUAGUUUCAAC